GGAGGAAUGGCUGAGUGGUUGAAGGCAGCGGUCUUGAAAACCGCCAAUAAGAAAUUAUUCGAGAGUUCGAAUCUCUCUUCCUCCU
rnacentral:tRNA from 1 species